GUAGGGGAUACUGAAAUUUCUAAUUUCGUUUAGCUUUUGCCCCCUAUA
rnacentral:tRNA from 1 species